rnacentral:rRNA from 1 species
GAUGAACGCUGGCGGCGUGCCUAAUACAUGCAAGUCGAGCGAAGCGGGGACGGGUGAGUAACACGUGGAUAACCUCCUAUAAGACUGGGAUAACUUCUGGAAACCGGAGCUAAACCGGAUACUUAUAAUUGGAUCCGCGCUGCGUUAGCUAUUUGGUAAGGUAACGGCUUACCAAGGCAACGGUGCAUAGCCGACCUGAGAGUGUGAUCGGCCACACUGGAACUGAGACACGGUCCAGACUCCUACGGGAGGCAGCAGUAGGGAAUCUUCCGCAAGGGCCGAAAGCCUGACGGAGCAACGCGGCGUGAUUGAUGAAGGUCUUCGGAUCGUAAAACUCUGUUAUUAGGGAAGCGGUAACUAAUCAGAAAGCCACGGCUAACUACGUGCCAGCCGCCGCGGUAAUUC